rnacentral:rRNA from 1 species
UGGGGAAUAUUGGACAAUGGGGGCAACCCUGAUCCAGCGAUGCCGCGUGUGUGAAGAAGGCCUUCGGGUUGUAAAGCACUUUAGUUGGGGAAGAAGGGUGUGGGUUGAAUAGGCCCAUAUUUUGACGGUACCCAAAGAAUAAGCACCGGCUAACUCUGUGCCAGCAGCCGCGGUAAUACAGAGGGUGCAAGCGUUAAUCGGAGUUACUGGGCGUAAAGGGCGCGUAGGCGGUUUUGAAAGUAAGAUGUGAAAGCCCUGGGCUCAACCUAGGAACAGCAUUUUAAACUUCAAGACUAGAGUACAGUAGAGGGUGGCGGAAUUUCCGGUGUAGCGGUGAAAUGCGUAGAGAUCGGAAGGAACAUCAGUGGCGAAGGCGGCCACCUGGACUGUAACUGACGCUGAGGCGCGAGAGCGUGGGGAGCAAACAGGAUUAGAUACCCCCGUAGUCC